rnacentral:rRNA from 1 species
CAAGGAAUCUUCCGCAAUGGGGGCAACCCUGACGGAGCAACGCCGCGUGGGGGAUGACGCCCUUCGGGUGUAACCCUUUCUGCGGGACGAAGGCGGGGGCGACCUCGCUUGACGGUACCGGAGGAAGAAGGACCGGCUAACUACGUGCCAGCAGCCGCGGUAAUACGUAGGGUCCGAGCGUUGUCCGGAGUUACUGGGCGUAAAGCGCGCGCAGGCGGCGGUGCUGGCCCGGCGUGAAGCCCCGGCUCAACCGGGGAGGGUCGUCGGGGACCGCACCGCUUGAGGGCGGUAGGGGCUGGUGGAAUGCCUGGUGUAGUGGUGAAAUGCGUAGAGAUCAGGCGGAACACCUGUGGCGAAGGCGGCCAGCUGGGCCGUCCCUGACGCUGAGGCGCGAAGGCGUGGGGAGCGAACGGGAUUAGAUACCCCGGUAGUCCACGCAGUAAACGAUGCCGAC